rnacentral:rRNA from 1 species
AACGAACGCUGGCGGCAUGCCUAACACAUGCAAGUCGAACGAGACCUUCGGGUCUAGUGGCGCACGGGUGCGUAACGCGUGGGAACCUGCCCUUAGGUUCGGAAUAACUCCCCGAAAGGGGUGCUAAUACCGGAUAAUGUCUUCGGACCAAAGAUUUAUCGCCUUUGGAUGGGCCCGCGUUGGAUUAGCUAGUUGGUAGGGUAAAAGCCUACCAAGGCGACGAUCCAUAGCUGGUCUGAGAGGAUGAUCAGCCACACUGGGACUGAGACACGGCCCAGACUCCUACGGGAGGCAGCAGUGGGGAAUAUUGGACAAUGGGCGAAAGCCUGAUCCAGCAAUGCCGCGUGAGUGACGAAGGCCUUAGGGUUGUAAAGCUCUUUUACCCGGGAUGAUAAUGACAGUACCGGGAGAAUAAGCGCCGGCUAACUCCGUG